AGAGUUUGAUCAUGGCUCAGAACGAACGCUGGCGGCAGGCCUCAAACAUGCAAGUCUAGGGGGUGUAGCAAUACAUCACCGGCGGACGGGUGCGUAACGCGUGGGAAUAUACCUAUUGGUUCGGAACAACUGAGGGAAACUUCAGCUAAUACCGAAUAAGUCCUUACGGAGAAAGAUUUAUCGCCAAUAGAUUAGCCCGCGUUCGAUUAGCUAGUUGGUGGGGUAACGGCUCACCAAGGCGACGAUCGAUAGCUGUUCUGAGAGGAAGAUCAGCCACACUGGGACUGAGACACGGCCCAGACUCCUACGGGAGGCAGCAGUUGGGAAUCUUGGACAAUGGGGGAAACCCUGAUCCAGCCAUGCCGCGUGAGUGAUGAAGGCCUUCGGGUUGUAAAACUCUUUCGCGCACGACGAUAAUGACGGUAGUGCGAGAAGAAGCUCCGGCUAACUUCGUGCCAGCAGCCGCGGUAAUACGAAGGGGGCUAGCGUUGUUCGGAAUUACUGGGCGUAAAGCGCGCGCAGGCGGCUAUCCAAGUCAGUGGUGAAAGCCCGGAGCUCAACUCCGGAACUGCCAUUGAAACUGUUUAGCUUGAGUAUGAGAGAGGUGAGUGGAAUUCCCAGUGUAGAGGUGAAAUUCGUAGAUAUUGGGAAGAACACCGGUGGCGAAGGCGGCUCACUGGCUCAUUACUGACGCUCAGGCGCGACAGCGUGGGGAUCAAACAGGAUUAGAUACCCCCGUAGUCC
rnacentral:rRNA from 1 species